AUAAGAGGUCCAGCCUGCCCAGUGACUUAGUUCAACGGCCGCGGUAUCCUAACCGUGCGAAGGUAGCGUAAUCACUUGUUCUUUAAAUGAGGACUCGUAUGAAUGGCACCACGAGGGUAACACUGUCUCCUUUUUCUUAUCAAUGAAACUGAUCUCCCCGUGAAGAAGCGGGGAUACAAAUAUUAGACGAGAAGACCCUAUGGAGCUUUAAACUAUAUAGCAUUGGCUUUUACCCCUUUACACUCCCGAGCUUUUAACUUUAUUCUAGCCUUUUGACUAUUAGUUUUAGGUUGGGGUGACCACGGAACAAAAAUUAACCUCCAUGAUGGAUAGACCCACUCUUGAGCCAAAAGCUACAACUUUAAGCACCAACAAACUGACAUAAAUUGACCCAAUAUUUUGAGCAACGAACCAAGUUACCCUAGGGAUAACAGCGCAAUCCACCCCAAGAGCCCCUAUCGACAGGUGGGUUUACGACCUCGAUGUUGGAUCAGGGUACCCCAGUGGUGCAGCCGCUACUAACGGUUCGUUUGUUCAACGAUUAAAACCCUACGUGA
rnacentral:rRNA from 1 species